GAAAUGCGAUAAGUAAUGUGAAUUGCAGAAUUCAGUGAAUCAUCGAAUCUUUGAACGCACCUUGCGCUCCUUGGUAUUCCUUGGAGCAUGCCUGUUUGAGUAUCAUGAAAUCUUCAAAGUAAAUCUUUUGUUAACUCAAUUGGUUUCUACUUUGGUAUUGAAGGUCUUUGCAGCUUCACACCUGCUCCUCUUUGUUCAUUAGCUGGAUCUCAGUGUUAUGCUUGGUUCCACUCGGCGUGAUAAGUUAUCUAUCGCUGAGGACACUGUAAAAGGUGGCCAAGGUAAAUGCAGAUGAACCGCUUCUAAUAGUCCAUUGACUUGGACAAUACUUUUAUGAUCUGAUCUCAAAUCAGGUAGGACUACCCGCUGAACUUAAGC
rnacentral:misc_RNA from 1 species